rnacentral:rRNA from 1 species
GGUUGCAAUCAUACCAGCACUACAGCACCGAAUUCCAUCAAAAC